AGAGUUUGAUCAUGGCUCAGAUUGAACGCUGGCGGCGUGCCUAACACAUGCAAGUCGAGCGGUAACAGGUGUAGCAAUACAUGCUGACGAGCGGCGAACGGGUGAGUAAUGCUUCGGAAUCUGCCCAAUGGUGGGGAAUAACCAGCCGAAAGGUUGGCUAAUACCGCAUAAGUCCUACGGGAGAAAGCAGGGGAUCGUAAGACCUUGCGCCGAUGGAUGAGCCGAAGUCGGAUUAGCUAGUUGGUAGGGUAACGGCCUACCAAGGCGACGAUCCGUAGCUGGUCUGAGAGGACGACCAGCCACACUGGGACUGAGACACGGCCCAGACUCCUACGGGAGGCAGCAGUGGGGAAUAUUGGACAAUGGGGGAAACCCUGAUCCAGCGACGCCGCAUGUGUGAAGAAGGCCUGCGGGUUGUAAAGCACUUUUAGUGGGGAUGAAAAGCUCAGGGCUAACACCUCUGGGUCUUGACCUAACCCACAGAAAAAGCACCGGCUAACUCUGUGCCAGCAGCCGCGGUAAUACAGAGGGUGCAAGCGUUAAUCGGAAUUACUGGGCGUAAAGCGUGCGUAGACGGUUAUGUAAGUCGGGUGUGAAAGCCCCGGGCUCAACCUGGGAAUGCCAUUCGAGACUGCAUAGCUAGGGUGCGGAAGAGGGAAGCGGAAUUUCCGGUGUAGCGGUGAAAUGCGUAGAUAUCGGAAGGAACACCAGUGGCGAAAGCGGCUUCCUGGUCCAGCACCGACGUUCAGGCACGAAAGCGUGGGGAGCAAACAGGAUUAGAUACCCUAGUAGUCC
rnacentral:rRNA from 1 species